rnacentral:rRNA from 1 species
CCUACGGGGGGCUGCAGUAGGGAAUAUUGCUCAAUGGGGGAAACCCUGAAGCAGCAACGCCGCGUGGAGGAUGAAGGUUUUAGGAUUGUAAACUCCUUUUGUUAGAGAAGAUAAUGACGGUAUCUAACGAAUAAGCACCGGCUAACUCCGUGCCAGCAGCCGCGGUAAUACGGAGGGUGCAAGCGUUACUCGGAAUCACUGGGCGUAAAGAGCGCGUAGGCGGGAUAGUCAGUCAGGUGUGAAAUCCUAUGGCUUAACCAUAGAACUGCAUUUGAAACUACUAUUCUAGAGUGUGGGAGAGGUAGGUGGAAUUCUUGGUGUAGGGGUAAAAUCCGUAGAGAUCAAGAGGAAUACUCAUUGCGAAGGCGACCUGCUGGAACAUUACUGACGCUGAUUGCGCGAAAGCGUGGGGAGCAAACAGGAUUAGAUACCCCUGUAGUCC